rnacentral:rRNA from 1 species
UACGUAGGUGGCGAGCGUUGUCCGGAUUUACUGGGCGUAAAGCGCGCGUAGGUGGCUCUUUAAGUCUCGUCGUGAAAGGUUGCGGCCCAACUGCAACAGUGCGCGGGAUACUGAGGGGCUUGAGGGCAGCAGAGGUCGGUGGAAUUCCCGGUGGAGUGGUGAAAUGCGUAGAUAUCGGGAGGAACACCAGAGGCGAAGGCGGCCGACUGGGCUGUACCUGACGCUGAGGCGCGAAAGCGUGGGGAGCGAACCGG